rnacentral:rRNA from 1 species
GAUGAACGCUAGCUACAGGCUUAACACAUGCAAGUCGAGGGGCAGCGCAGUGUAGCAAUACAUGGGCGGCGACCGGCGCACGGGUGCGUAACGCGUAUCCAACUUUCCCGUUACUCAGGGAUAGCCUUCCGAAAGGGAGAUUAAUACCUGAUGGUGUUGAAAUUCUGCAUGUUAUUUCAACUAAAGAUUUAUCGGUAACGGAUGAGGAUGCGUACGAUUAGCUUGUUGGCGGGGUAACGGCCCACCAAGGCGACGAUCGUUAGGGGUUCUGAGAGGAAGGUCCCCCACACUGGAACUGAGACACGGUCCAGACUCCUACGGGAGGCAGCAGUGAGGAAUAUUGGUCAAUGGUCGGAAGACUGAACCAGCCAAGUAGCGUGAAGGAUGAAGGUUCUAUGGAUUGUAAACUUCUUUUAUACGGGAAUAAAACCACCUACGUGUAGGUGCUUGUAUGUACCGUAUGAAUAAGCAUCGGCUAACUCCGUG